UACGGAGGGUGCAAGCGUUAUCCGGAUUCACUGGGUUUAAAGGGUGCGUAGGUGGGUUGGUAAGUCAGUGGUGAAAUCCCCGAGCUUAACUUGGGAACUGCCAUUGAUACUAUCAGUCUUGAAUACCGUGGAGGUCAGCGGAAUAUGUCAUGUAGCGGUGAAAUGCUUAGAUAUGACAUAGAACACCAAUUGCGAAGGCAGCUGGCUACUCGAAUAUUGACACUGAGGCACGAAAGCGUGGGGAUCAAACAGGAUUAGAUACCCUGGUAGUCCACGCCCUAAACUAUGGAUACUCGACAUUUGCGAUAAACUGUAAGUGUCUGAGCGAAAGCAUUAAGUAUCCCACCUGGGAAGUACGACCGCAAGGUUGAA
rnacentral:rRNA from 1 species